AGAGUUUGAUCCUGGCUCAGGACGAACGCUGGCGGCAUGCCUAAUACAUGCAAGUCGAGCGAAUCGAUGGGAGCUUGCUCCCUGAGAUUAGCGGCGGACGGGUGAGUAACACGUGGGCAACCUGCCUAUAAGACUGGGAUAACUUCGGGAAACCGGAGCUAAUACCGGAUACGUUCUUUUCUCGCAUGAGAGAAGAUGGAAAGACGGUUUACGCUGUCACUUAUAGAUGGGCCCGCGGCGCAUUAGCUAGUUGGUGAGGUAAUGGCUCACCAAGGCGACGAUGCGUAGCCGACCUGAGAGGGUGAUCGGACACACUGGGACUGAGACACGGCCCAGACUCCUACGGGAGGCAGCAGUAGGGAAUCUUCCGCAAUGGACGAAAGUCUGACGGAGCAACGCCGCGUGAACGAAGAAGGCCUUCGGGUCGUAAAGUUCUGUUGUUAGGGAAGAACAAGUACCAGAGUAACUGCUGGUACCUUGACGGUACCUAACCAGAAAGCCACGGCUAACUACGUGCCAGCAGCCGCGGUAAUACGUAGGUGGCAAGCGUUGUCCGGAAUUAUUGGGCGUAAAGCGCGCGCAGGUGGUUCCUUAAGUCUGAUGUGAAAGCCCACGGCUCAACCGUGGAGGGUCAUUGGAA
rnacentral:rRNA from 1 species